GCGCCGCGAAACGGUGCCGGUUCCCUCGCGCAGCGAUGCCCGACGGGAUUAAAAGGGAACAUGGUGUGAAGCCAUGGCUGCCCCCGCAACUGUCAGCAGCGAGUCCUCCCCGCAAACCAUGCCACUGGCCGCAACGCGCGUCUGGGAAGGCGGGGGAGGGCGAUGACCUGCGAGCCAGGAGACCUGCCGCGACCGUGAGUCCGAU
rnacentral:ncRNA from 2 species